rnacentral:lncRNA from 1 species
GCCAUUCGUUGACAUAUAUUGCUGCUGUCCAGCUACCAUCAAGCCUUAAGAAGUUGAUGAUCUGGUGUUGCGAUAAUAUAAGGACUUUGACAGUGGAAGAGGGCAUCCAGAGUAGCAGAAGCAGCAGCAAUAGAAGGUACACCUCAUCUCUUCUUGAGAAGUUAGAAAUUAGGGAUUGUCCAUCACUGACAUGUAUAUUUUCAAAAAACGAGUUACCUGCCACGCUUGAGUCCCUUGAAGUUGGCAAUCUACCUCCGUCUCUUAAGUCCCUUCGUGUUUAUGGAUGUUCAAAGCUGGAGUCAAUAGCAGAAAGGUUGGACAACAACACAUCUCUUGAAACAAUUAGUGUAGAUGAUUGUGAAAAUCUAAAAAAUUUACCGAGUGGUUUACAUAAUCUCCGGCAGCUUCGAGGGAUUACUAUACGGAGUUGUGGAAACCUGGUGUCCUUUCCCGAAGGGGGAUUGCCUUGUGCGAAACUCAGGAGGCUGACGAUAUCUGAUUGUGAGAGACUAGAGGCCUUACCCAAGGGAUUGCACAAUCUGACCUCUCUUCAAAAAUUA